rnacentral:rRNA from 1 species
GGAAUAUUGGUCAAUGGAGGGAACUCUGAACCAGCAAUACCGCGUGAAUGAUGAAGGUCUUCGGAUUGUAAAGUUCUGUGAUGGGGGACGAAGAAAGUGACGGUACCCCAAGAGCAAGCUACGGCUAACUACGUGCCAGCAGCCGCGGUAAUACGUAGGUAGCAAGCGUUGUCCGGAAUGACUGGGCGUAAAGGGUGCGUAGGUGGCAUGGUAAGUUGGUAGUGAAAUUCCGGGGCUCAACUCCGGCGCUACUGCCAAGACUGCUGAGCUUGAGUACAGGAGAGGCAAGCGGAAUUCCUAGUGUAGCGGUGGAAUGCUUAGAUAUUAGGAAGAACACCAGAGGCGAAAGCGGCUUGCUGGCCUGCAACUGACACUGAGGCACGAAAGCGUGGGGAGCAAACA